rnacentral:rRNA from 1 species
GAUGAACGCUGGCGGCGUGCCUAACACAUGCAAGUCGAACGGAGUCGUUUUGGAAAUCUCUUCGGAGAUGGAAUUCUCGACUUAGUGGCGGACGGGUGAGUAACGCGUGAGCAAUCUGCCUUUAAGAGGGGGAUAACAGUCGGAAACGGCUGCUAAUACCGCAUAAAGCAUUAAAUUCGCAUGUUUUUGAUGCCAAAGGAGCAAUCCGCUUUUAGAUGAGCUCGCGUCUGAUUAGCUAGUUGGCGGGGUAACGGCCCACCAAGGCGACGAUCAGUAGCCGGACUGAGAGGUUGAACGGCCACAUUGGGACUGAGACACGGCCCAGACUCCUACGGGAGGCAGCAGGGGGGAAUAUUGCGCAAUGGGGGAAACCCUGACGCAGCAACGCCGCGUGAUUGAAGAAGUCCUUCGGGUUGUAAAGAUCUUUAAUCAGGGACGAAACAAAUGACGGUACCUGAAGAAUAAGCUCCGGCUAACUACGUG